UACGGAGGGGGCUAGCGUUGUUCGGAAUUACUGGGCGUAAAGCGCACGUAGGCGGAUAGUUAAGUUAGAGGUGAAAGCCCAGGGCUCAACCCUGGAACUGCCUUUAAUACUGGCUAUCUAGAGAUCGAGAGAGGUGAGUGGAAUUCCGAGUGUAGAGGUGAAAUUCGUAGAUAUUCGGAGGAACACCAGUGGCGAAGGCGGCUCACUGGCUCGAUACUGACGCUGAGGUGCGAAAGCGUGGGGAGCAAACAGG
rnacentral:rRNA from 1 species